CCUCUGCUUCCCCAGCCAACUGCUCUUCCACUUGGCUUCUGGUACCUCCAGGAUUCCCACCAACCUCCAGCCAUGAAGAUCUUCUGCCUCCUCUCUGUUGCCGUCCUCUUCUUGAUGCUGGUGGCUCCAGAUUUCACCAGAGCCCAUCACUUUUGUAUUCAGAGAUGUCGACGGCAAAAUGGGAUACUGCGACCAAGGUGUACUGGGCACCAAAGGCCACUUUUUCAUUGUGGUCGCCAAGUGUGUUGCCGUCGAGGAUAUUAACUCUGCCGACCUCCGGUGCAAGACCUCUGGUGAAAGGAAGACCCCCCUGCUCUCCUCCGAUGUGCAGCUGCCUCGACUGCACCCCCCAUCUCUGCUGGGGAAGAAACCGCUUUGCUUGAUGCUGCUGAAGGCGAUUCUGGGAAGGAGUCAAGAGGGAGCCAUCCUGUCUGCCUGUCUACUCACGAGUAAGCCCCACUGGGGUCUGACUCCUUAGUAUGUGGGCUUAGGAUUGGAGCUUGAAAUUGGUUUGCCUGCAAAAAUGCUUUAGCUUCUACUUUUUAAUAAAUGCAAGCAUUGGAAACCUU